rnacentral:rRNA from 1 species
GAAUGAUCAAGUGUCUUAAGGGCAUUUGGUGGAUGCCUUGGCAUGCACAGGCGAUGAAGGACGUGAUACGCUGCGAUAAGCGUCGGGGAGGUGCGAAUACCCUUUGAUCCGACGAUUUCCGAAUGGGGAAACCCACCUUAGAUAUCUAGAAAAUUAUUUUGGUUGGAAGAUUGAUCACAACCAUUGGACGGGCUGCCUUCCCAGAAGGACGCGCCCAUACAGACCGCUAGGUCGUCGGCCACUUUUGGCCGCCCCAGCGGAGCGCCAGUCCGAAGGACGUACGGCGCGUGAGCGAUCGGUAGAACCAAAAUAAUUUCUAGAUAUCAAAAUAAGGUAUCUAACUUUCGAAUACAUAGGGGUUAGAAGCGAACCCGGGGAACUGAAACAUCUAAGUACCCGGAGGAAAGGACAUCAAACGAGACUCCGUAAGUAGUGGCGAGCGAACGCGGACCAGGCCAGUGGCUUUUAUGAGACAAGUGGAACACCUUGGAAAGGGUGACCGAAGUGGGUGAUAGUCCCGUACACGUAAUGCGAAUAAAAGUCCUUGAGUAGGGCGGGACACGUGAAAUCCUGUCUGAACAUGGGGAGACCACUCUCCAAGCCUAAGUACUCGUGCAUGACCGAUAGCGAACCAGUACCGUGAGGGAAAGGUGAAAAGCACCCCGACAAGGGGAGUGAAAGAGAUCCUGAAACCGAAUGCCUACAAACAGUUGGAGCCCAAGAUUUGUUCUGGGUGACAGCGUACCUUUUGUAUAAUGGGUCAGCGACUUAGUCUGACGAGCAAGCUUAAACCGGUAGGUGUAGGCGCAGCGAAAGCGAGUCUGAACAGGGCGUUCAGUUCGUCGGAUUAGACCCGAAACCAAGUGAUCUAGCCAUGAGCAGGUUGAAGGUAAGGUAACACUUACUGGAGGACCGAACCCGCAUCUGUUGCAAUAGAUUGGGAUGACUUGUGGCUAGGGGUGAAAGGCCAAUCAAACUUGGAGAUAGCUGGUUCUCCGCGAAAUCUAUUUAGGUAGAGCGUCGAUCGAAUACCUUCGGGGGUAGAGCACUGGAUGGGCUAGGGGAUCUCACCGAUUUACCAAACCUAACCAAACUCCGAAUACCGAAGAGUACUAAUCGGCAGACACACGGCGGGUGCUAACGUCCGUCGUGAAGAGGGCAACAACCCUGACCACCAUCUAAGGUCCCUAAGUUAUGGCUAAGUGGGAAAGGAUGUGAGGAUCCCAAAACAACCAGGAUGUUGGCUUAGAAGCAGCCAUCAUUUAAAGAAAGCGUAACAGCUCACUGGUCUAAAUAAGGGUCUUUGCGCCGAAAAUGUACCGGGGCUAAAGCCAUACACCGAAGCUGUGGAUUCUUUGGAACCUUCGGGUUCCCGGGAGUGGUAGCGGAGCGUUCUGUAAGCCGUUGAAGAGAGACCCGUGAGGGCUCUUGGAGGUAUCAGAAGUGAGAAUGCUGACAUGAGUAACGAUAAAGGGAGUGAGAGACUCCCUCGCCGAAAGUCCAAGGGUUCCUGCUUAAAGUUAAUCUGAGCAGGGUUAGCCGGCCCCUAAGGCGAGGCCGAAAGGCGUAGUCGAUGGGAACCACGUUAAUAUUCGUGGGCCUGCGGGUAGUGACGGAUCGCGUAUGUUGUUCUUCCUUAUUGGAUUGGAAGGGCUUCGAAGCGGUUCCAGGAAAUAGCUCCCGCGUAUAGACCGUACCCUAAACCGACACUGGUGGACUGGUAGAGAAUACCAAGGCGCUUGAGAGAACUGCGUUGAAGGAACUCGGCAAAUUGCACGCGUAACUUCGGAAGAAGCGUGACCCUUAUGUACGCAAGUAUGUGAGGGUGGCACAGACCAGGGGGUAGCGACUGUUUACCAAAAACACAGGGCUCUGCGAAGUCGCAAGACGACGUAUAGGGUCUGACGCCUGCCCGGUGCUGGAAGGUUAAGAGGAGAGGUGCAAGCUUUGAAUCGAAGCCCC